rfam:Cricetulus griseus cell line CHO-K1, whole genome shotgun sequence.
GGAGAGAUGGCUCACAGGUUAAGAGCACUGGCUGCUCUCCCAGAGGAUCUGGGUUCAAUUCCCAGUGCCUACA